rnacentral:tRNA from 1 species
CUGGGUGUAGCGAAGCCUGGUAUCGCAUCUGCUUUGGGAGCAGAGGAUCGGAGGUUCAAAUCCUCCCACCCAGACCA